UGGUCGGUUUCUUUUCCUUAUUCUCUUUCUUCUUCUUUCAUUUGUUUUUCUGUUUGGCAGAGCAAAACGCCCAAUUUCUCGCCGUUCACGUUGCCGCCGCCUCCGGAGUCAACGCCUCUUCUGCCGCGCGAGUUUACGGACUACAAAUUGAUCUCUUCCUUUGAUUCAAGUAUAUGAGUUUUGGAGGUGGAUUUGUUAUGUGAGGUGAGGAAAUGGCGAAAAGGGUCGGAGAUGAGACUGCUGAAACAGAGCCAUUCAUGUUUUUCUCCGGUCAGCUGCACUGUUAUUCUUUCUUUAAAUUUAGGAUUUUUCUUUUUUAUUAUGAACUACUUGUAUCAAUGUAUUUCUGUUGCUCAACAAUAUGUUGGUUAUUGAGAAAAAUUACCACUGAUUUGUA